AAAAGCGAAGGACAGCAGCUGACGCUGGCUGUGGUCAAUUUGACCACGAGGAAAGAAUGAAAGCUGUGGAACUCCUGGAGGGAUGUUUAAUGACUCUGCUCCUACAACAUUCAUUUGUUCAGGGUUAUGCAGGCUGUGCCACGCACUGAGCUCCUUUCCGCUGUCGAAAGGAAAAGACUGAAGACAACCCAAGGAGAUCUACAGCCAGAGGGAGCCAGACAUCAACCACAACAGCUAC